rnacentral:rRNA from 1 species
CACGUAGGCGGCACGUUAAGUCAGCUGUGAAAGCCCUGGGCUCAACCUGGGAAUGGCAGUUGAUACUGACGCGUUCGAGUUUGAGAGAGGGGGUGGAAUUCCAGGUGUAGCGGUGAAAUGCGUAGAUAUCUGGAGGAACACCGGUGGCGAAGGCGGCCCCCUCGGCUCAUGACUGACGCUGAGGUGCGAAAGCGUGGGGAGCAAACA